rnacentral:rRNA from 1 species
GCAAGCGUUGUCCGGAAUCAUUGGGCGUAAAGAGCUCGCAGGUGGUCUGUUACGUCUGCUGUGAAAUCCUAGGGCUUAACCCUGGGCCUGCAGUGGAUACGGGCAGACUAGAGGUAGGUAGGGGAGAAUGGAAUUCCCGGUGUAGCGGUGAAAUGCGCAGAUAUCGGGAGGAACACCGGUGGCUAAGGCGGUUCUCUGGGCCUUACCUGACACUGAGGAGCGAAAGCGUGGGGAGCGAACGGG